AUAACAAUACUUUCAGGAAUCAUUUCUAUAGUUCGUAACUAGUGAAGUUUCUCUGAUAGUGUAGAAUACCAGAAACCAUGAGAACAAGCCAGAGAAUCCUCUCCUGAGCAUGAAGUUGGUUCUAGGCACUGCUUUUGCAACUGCCUCUUACCUUUGGUGAUCCCCCUUCUCUUCCCUUGGAAGAGGGAGAGGGAGAGGUUGCAGUCUGAGUGGU